AGUUCGAUUCUGGCUCAGAUUGAACGCUGGCGGGAUGCUUUACACAUGCAAGUCGAACGGGCAGCACGGACUGGUCUGGUGGCGAGUGGCGAACGGGUGAGUAAUGUAUCGGAACGUGCCUAGUAAAGGGGGAUAACGACAAGAAAGCGUAGCUAAUACCGCAUACGCCCUUCGGGGAAAGCGGGGGGACCUUCACUGCACUAUUAGAGCGGCCGAUAUCGGAUUAGCUAGUUGGUGGGGUAACGGCUCACCAAGGCGACGAUCCGUAGCUGGUUUGAGAGGACGACCAGCCACACUGGGACUGAGACACGGCCCAGACUCCUACGGAGGCAGCAAGAGAAUGGACGAUCCCCUGAUCCAGCCAUCCCGCGUGUGCGAUGAAGGCUCGGGUUGUAAAGACCUCUUGCAGGAGAAACGGCGGGCCGGGAUAGCACCCUGCAACUGACGGUACCUGCAAUGGCACCGCUAACCACGCGCCAGCAGCCGCAGUAUUGCUGUAGGGUGCAAGCGUUAAUCGAAUUACUGGGCGUAAAGCGUGCAGGCGGUUCGAAAGCAAAGAUGUGAAAUCCCAGAGCUUAAUCUUUGGAACUGUAUUUUAACCUUACUGAGCUAGAGCUGUGUCAGAGGGAGGUGGAAUUCGCGUGUAGCAGUGAAAUGCGCAGAUAUGCGGAGGAACACCGGAUGGCGAAGGCAGCCUCCUGGGAUAACACUGACGCUCAUGCACGAAAGCGUGGGGAGCAAACAGGAUUAGAUACUCCGGUAGUCCACGCCCAACGAGUGUCAACUGCUGUUGGGGCCUUCGGGCCUUGUAGCGCAGCUAACGCGUGAAGUUGACCGCCUGGGGAGUACGGUCGCAAGAUGAACCCAAAGAAUGAUUGGGACCCCGCACAAGCGGUGGAUGAUGUGAUUAACUAUGCAACGCGAAAACCUUACUCAAUUCUUGAUGUCUGGAAUCCCGAAGAGAUUUGGGAGUGCUCGCAAGAGAACCGGAACACAGGUGCUGCAUGGCUGUCGUCAGCUCGUGUCGUAGAUGUUGGGUUAAGUCCCGCAACGAGCGGCACCCAAUAGUUAAUGCUGAAAGGCAAUUUUGACGAGAUUCGCUAGUACGUAAACCGAGAAGCGGGAUGACGUCAAGUCCCCUUGUAUGGCCUCUUAUGGGUAGGGCUUCUCACACGUCAUACAAUGGUCGGGACAGAGGGUCGCCAACCUCGCGAGGGGAGCCAAUCCCAGAAACCUGAUCGGGGUCCGAUCGCAGUCUGCAACUCGACUGCGUGAAGUUUAAAUCGCUAGUAAUCGCGGAUCGCAUGUCGCAGAAUACGUUCCCGGGUCUUGUACACCCCGCCCGGGCUCAUUCAUGGGAGGUUUUACCAGAAGUAGUUAGCCUAACCGUAAGGAGGGCGAUUACCACGGUAGGGAUUCAUGACUGGGGUAGUCGUAACAAGGUAGCCUUGAGCGAUACCCGAUGCUCCA
rnacentral:rRNA from 1 species